rnacentral:rRNA from 1 species
CGGAUAAAAGGUACUCCGGGGAUAACAGGCUGAUACCGCCCAAGAGUUCAUAUCGACGGCGGUGUUUGGCACCUCGAUGUCGGCUCAUCACAUCCUGGGGCUGAAGUAGGUCCCAAGGGUAUGGCUGUUCGCCAUUUAAAGUGGUACGCGAGCUGGGUUUAGAACGUCGUGAGACAGUUCGGUCCCUAUCUGCCGUGGGCGCUGGAGAACUGAGGGGGGCUGCUCCUAGUACGAGAGGACCGGAGUGGACGCAUCACUGGUGUUCGGGUUGUCAUGCCAAUGGCACUGCCCGGUAGCUAAAUGCGGAAGAGAUAAGUGCUGAAAGCAUCUAAGCACGAAACUUGCCCCGA